CCGAUAAGAUUGGAACGAUACCGCGAAGAUUGGAACGAUACCGCGAAGAUUACCAUGGCCCCUACGCAAGGAUGACUGACACGCACAAAGCAUAAGAUU
rnacentral:snRNA from 1 species